UAAGAACAAAGGUUUGAUUCCCAGC
rnacentral:piRNA from 1 species